GGUAACUUGUCGAUUAACUGGAAGAAACCGGGGAACGAAACAUAGAAAAUUUAUGAAACGAAAGUCAACGCAACAAAAGUCAAAGUGUUUUUGUUUUGAUGGAUAAUUUUACGUACCCUAAAAGCGGAACGAAAGCAUUUUCAAUGAAAGUACAUUUUGUACAUGUACUUCAACAGAACAGAAUUCAUUUGAGGCCUUGCUUUCUAGAUUAUAUAAUGGAUUCAUAGAUUGUCAUAUUGAUUUAUGUGCAUAAAAGGAGCAGUAGUCAAUGAAUAAUUUUGUGAUGAGAGCUUAUUACCAUGGUUACCAAAUGAAAGGAAAGUGCAGUAUUAGAAUCACUGGUGUACAUGUAGAUGCGGAUGUCCGGCAAAAAGAACUGGUAUCAAAAUACUAAAAGUAAAGGUGAACUACUUUAUGUUUAUGGAAUGAUUGUAAGGUGUUUAUAUUUGUCUUGCAGGUACAAUUCUUGCCAGAUUUUUUAAAACUUAUUCUAUAUGUUAAUAUCAGCAUAAUCCUAGUCAAGCUUUAUAAAUUUGGCCGAUCAACUUUUUUCAAAAGAGUUAUGCCCCUUGGAAAUAAUAAAUUUAUGGAAAAUGGCCUCGUAAAUGCUCUCAUUUUUUUUUAUUAAACUUAUACAUGUAGUAUACUAUUAUAGUAAUGCCCUGGUCGGUUUGAAAUAUUUAGUAUACAAGAAAAAGAACUUU